GCACAGGUGGCCGAGUGGUUAAUGGCAGCAGACUGUAAAUCUGCCGCGUUAUGCGCUACGAAGGUUCGAAUCCUUCCCUGUGCACCA
rnacentral:tRNA from 1 species